rnacentral:misc_RNA from 1 species
GUUUCGCGUGAGGGGCAGUAGCGGCAUCCUUUUGUGACAAGAAGAAUGACUGGCAAAGAAAAAUGCAGUGGAACAAAAGAUACAGCGGAUGACCCGACCUUUU